rnacentral:rRNA from 1 species
UACGGAGGGUGCAAGCGUUAUUCGGAAUUACUGGGCGUAAAGCGCGUGUAGGCGGCCCGACAAGUCUGAUGUGAAAGCCCUGGGCUUAACCCGGGAAGUGCAUUGGAAACUGUCGGGCUUGAGUACUGGAGAGGAUGGGGGAAUUCCCGGUGUAGAGGUGAAAUUCGUAGAGAUCGGGAGGAAUAUCAGUGGCGAAGGCGCCCAUCUGGACGGUUACUGACGCUGAGACGCGAAAGCGUGGGGAGCAAACAGG